UACGUAGGGUGCAAGCGUUGUCCGGAAUUAUUGGGCGUAAAGAGCUCGUAGGCGGUCUGUCGCGUCUGGUGUGAAAAUCCAGGGCUUAACCCUGGACCUGCAUCGGGUACGGGCAGACUAGAGUGCGGUAGGGGAGAUCGGAAUUCCUGGUGUAGCGGUGAAAUGCGCAGAUAUCGGGAAGAACACCCGUGGCGAAGGCGGCACUCUGGGACGGUACUGACGCUGAGACGCGAAAGCGUGGGGAGCGAACAGG
rnacentral:rRNA from 1 species